rnacentral:lncRNA from 1 species
AUCAUACACCACCACAUCAUCAUCAUCAAGUCAUCCCAUCCUCCUCCUCACAUCUCUCUACUUGCAGUUUUUCGAGCAAUAUUUCAAAAGAGAAACAGGUAGAUAAUAGAUUCAUCCCACUUGCAGUUUUCCUCAUUGACAUAGCAAAUAUACAAUACAUAUGUCUGAUAAAUAAUACAUAUGUGUGUUUGUGCGUGUAGAAAAAGAUAAAUAAACAUACAAAUUAUGCAACUUAAAAUAAUUGAAGACAAACCCACUACAGAUAAUUUGUCAGCAUCCAAUCCUGCAAAAUUGUCAUUGAAAACACAGAUUUAUACAACAAAACUUGGGUCAUAAUUGUAGAUAAUAAAGAAUUAAUAAGCCCAUCACAUGUCCAAAGGUAAGAGAAAAGAAAGGAAUAAACCCAUCAGCCCAUCUUAAACAUUGAAAUUAAUUAUUUAUUUUACAUAUAAAUCAGUUUAUAUGGAUAAAAUUCAAAAGUAAACUAAGAAGAAAAUGAGUCUCAUAUUCAUUUGGGAGGGGACCGUUGGAAAAUAUCAACUCAUGUAAAAAUAAUUUUCACUCCUCAAUUGAAAAUAUACAAUAAACAUAUAAACCAGUUUAUAUAGAUAAAAUCCAAAAUAUACAACAAAUCAAGCCACAUAGGAACAAUUUUGGGACUUAAAAUUGUGUAUUUUUCAUAGCUGUUACUAAAAUUACUUUAUCUGCUGUAACGAAGUAUGCAAAAAUGGAUACUGCAAAGAACAAAAACAAAAAAAAAUUAAAUAUUUUAAAUUUAAAUAUUAUAUAAUUUAUUUAAUUUUAGACAAUGUAAUUCAUAAAAGUUGUAGAUACCUAAAAUAGUACUAUUAAAUACCAAGUUUAUUGUUUUAAAUGGUUAAAUGAAUUACAACAUAUUUGAAUUUUAAAAAAUAAAUUUUAUUCAUUUUGAUAUAUAAAAAAAUGAAAUGUCAAAACAUUGAUUAAUGCAGUAUUGAUUUAGAGCAUAUAAUUCUCAUUAAUUAAUUAAAAAAACUACUGAAUAAGUGAGGAGAGGUUAGAAUCAAACAAAAUACUAGUAGUGAUGAAUAACUUUCUUAAUAAGUGGACAAAUAGAAAGGCAAAAAGAGGAUGUGGUUAACCUAUUUCUUCUAUGUUUUAUUUAGUUUGAAUGUGUCAAACUAUUUUCUUAAUCAUAGAAAAAAAAAUAAAUUUCUAGUGUAAAAAUAAAUAAAAACACACAUACCCAAAGUUGAUUAAAUCCCAGUUCAUAUCAACCAACAUACAUAACAUACAUGCCCCAGAUCAAAACAAAAGAGAGAAAAAGUAGGUAGUGUUAUUUUUUUUUUGGGUGGGUGGGUGGGUGGGGGGAAGAGAGAAUACAAUUGCGAACAAAAGAACAGAAUUGUAAAACUUGAUCGUGAGAAAACAACAAAUAUCAUACUUGCUUCAAUAAACAAUUAAAACAAAAUAUUCAGAGUAUGGAAACAGCGGUGGUGACUUACAAAUUCAGUGAAACUUUGAAUACAUGAAAGUUUAUUAAAGCUAAGAAAAUAAUGGGUUGAUGACCGACACUUGUUGAUAUAAUUUAGAUCCCAAAAUAUUCAGAAAUCAAAUUAAACAAAUAUGGAAAUAGCGGUGGUGACUGACCAUAUUUCACGGUAAGGGAGAAAUUAAGACAACCGUACAAAGUAAACGCUUAAAAAUUAAGGUGCUUACCGGAGGGGAAGAGGAUGAUACGGAUAUCAUAGAAGUCUGAUCUGUAAGCUUCAACAAUUGAGAGAGAUAUAUAGAGAGAGAUGAUAAUGGUUGGCGAACAAACCCAAACCAAACCUGAAGCCCUUUACUUCUUAGGAGGUAUAUUGAAGAAAUCAAAGGAAGGAGAAGGGAGGGAGAACUAAAAUGAGAGGGGAAUUGGAGAAAUUGAAGAACUAAAAGGAAAGAGGGAAUUGAAGGAGGUAUAUUGCUCUCGCAAUCGACAAAUAAGUUUUGUAUAGAUAGAUUAGUGAAGCUGAUUUGUUAUUUUUUGAAGGGUUAGAUUUAUCCCAACUUUUCGAUGGUCCAGAUCUCUUAAUAGACUUUGAGCGGGAUUUUUUUUUUCAAAAUCAAUUCUAUUUUGUAUAGAUAGAUUAAAUAAAGGACACAUUCACCUACUGUAGAAAAGCAUUAGCUAACUUAUUUGGGACAAUUUUAACCCUUCCGACUGAGAGCUCAAAAGAGCCCCAGCCUCAUUCAUCCCACUGCUAUUGCUGCUGCUGGUACACGUUGUUACCACUGGGCAUCAGCUAUUUCCCCCAUCCCGCGUGGUCACUUUGAGGUCUUAUUUAAUUUAGUUCAUAUACCAAAUUGCACCAAACUUUAUAUAUGUUGUAUAUCAUAUGUAAGACUGUAAUUAGAAGGUAUAACCACUCUAUUUCAGAUUCUCUAGUCUACAACCACUCUAUUUAAUAAUUAAGGAGGAUUUGAGUUCAUUUACUUUGGGGGCCUUAGUUGGAUGAUAUAUAUUGCCAAGAUUGACUUGAAUGUGCUUAUUAGAUGUUGUUGCAGUCACCACAAUUGCACAAUGUUGUUACUACUAUUUUUUAUAGGGGAAAUGUGCAGUAUUUCUCAGUGGAAAUUUGGGUCUGUAAUGAACUGACAAUCAUAAUGUCCUUAUUUUCCUAUUGUUUCCUGAAAACUAUGUUUAUGUUUUUAAGGGAGCAUCUCCUUGGAUGAUGAAGUUGUUACAUCUUUAACUUAAGCUGCUUGCAUUAUUGUUAUUAUAUUACUUGACAGCCUCUUAGAGGCAAUUUAUCGAACAUAACAUGUGCAUUUCUUUUUAGGAUAGAACUCAUAAGUAUUUGGUUAUGGUUUAGCCUAGAUUUUACUACCCUUAUUACUCCACACAACAAUCACAACAUCCACUUCAUACUCACUCUCAAUUAUAACACAUCUAAUUACAACACUUUAUUAUCAAAUUUCUAAUAAAAUAACUUAAACAUUUAACUUACCUUUAAAUGUUAGUUUAACUGCUGAUGUUGUUGAGCAUUACAUUUUUUCUUUGCCAAAAUUGUUGAGUUUUUACCGAAAUUGAUGAUGUUUAGUAACCCUUUCGGGUGUGUUAGAGCUUAACAGUUAAUGAAGAAAGGACCAAUAAAAUGAUAAAAACACAAACAAAUAUACUAAUCUUUUAUUUAGAAAUAAAAGCUCAAUACCCAGAUUAUAAAAAUACCAAGUUUCUUUAAAGUAUAUCUUAUUUCUUAUGACACACAAAAAAAAAUAAUCAAUUUUAUGUGAACUAAACACCGUCCAUGGACAUAGGAAGAAGAACUAAUCAGCAUCAGCCACCAAAUCGCCAAUGAGCUUAUGACCCACCACCGUCCACCGUCAAUUUUAUGUGAACUAAACACCGUUCAUGAACUAAAAAUCAAUAUAUAUAUAUAUAUUCUUAUCACAGCGAAAAAGAACUAAACAGAGAUAAAACAGAGGGAGAAAAGAAAAAUCAAAGUAAAAUGUGAAAAAGACUAAAAAAGAUGGAAAAAAGAGGCGAUUCACAGAUCAUAGAAUUUCCCAUAAAACACAAGAAUUAGUUUGAUAAAUUAAGAACACAAACUCACAGAAUUGACGUUGUCGACCCGAGAGUUGGCGUGGGGCACCUCUUCGACCUCCCAACCUUUCGAAAGUUUGAAGCGCGAGUUGGUAAUGGCGGAGGAGUUGUGGUCUUGUGGAGCAGGACUGGCGGUGGCAGAGGGCUGAAGAUGUAGCAAGUGACUGAAGAAGAAGGUUUGGCACUUCGAUUGAUAGAGAGAAUGAAGAAGAAGCAAGUGACUGAAGUCUGAAACCCUUGUUUGUUUUAAGUCUAAAUUUCUAAAGUCCCUCCGUGUUUUGUUAAAUUUGGUUGGGGAAUGAGAUAAGAGGAACAAAACUUUGAGAUAUGAAUAAUAACUCGAUGUAUAUUUUGGAAUUCGAUAUGCAAUUAUUACAAAUUACAAACAAAAAGAAUAUAAAAAUUUCUUCCAAUGUGGUCUUAGCAUAGUGCAACUGCAUUUCUUCCUUUAUGUACAUAUGACAAUGGUGUGGUGCAAUAGUGGUUAUUCUUUAUCAAAGUGAUUGAUAUUGUGGUAUCCUAAAAUCAAUCUUAGUUUUAAUUAUGACAAAUAUAAUUAUAAUUUUUAAUCUUAAAUGGCAAAUAAGGACCAAAUCAUUUAAGGAAUAAUUCAAUCAAUUUACUUUGGAUAAAGUUAGGGUAUAUAUUUUUACAUGAAUUAAGAGUAUCCUCUCUAUAGGUUGCAUGCACGCUAUAAAUUUUUAUCUCGAUCUUAAAGUUUUUCACAUACAUUUUUAUUCUAUUUUAAAAGAUUAUUAUUUUUCAUUUGUGUUUUAGAAAUAUACUUUUAUGUAGUAUAUAUAGGUAGAUGUGUGUGAGAAUAUAUAUGCAAUAAAUUUUAUAAAGACUGAUUGUAAAUUGGUGUUUUUACAAUAUUCAAUAUGAAUGUCAACUCUACAAUUUAAGAGAAAAUUAAGGAGAUUUGAUUAUGUAAGUUGGGUCUUGGCUUGAGUCUUGGGGGAGGUGUCUCUUUCAAGUCUAAGCCAGCUCCUUGGGCUCAAUAUGCUAGAAUCUUGACUGCUAAAGAUUUCCCAACUUUGGUUUCCAAGUCUCCUUCUUCAUCAUCUUCUGAUGUCACUAAAGCUGCUAAUAAUAAUAACAAUAAUAUCUCCUCAGCUGGUUCCAAGAGAAUUGCUGCUGAGUCUGUUUCACCCCCCAGCGGCACCACAAGGUAUAUUAAUUUUUUUUCUUAGAAAACCCUUUUUUUUAUUUGUUGGUUUGGUUUUAAAUUUCUUAUAUGCACUAUUUGUUUCAAUAUUUUGUUGUUCAUUUCAGCUGUUUUCUUAUCCUGCUACAUAUCUGUGCUUGUGUGGGUAUUUGUGUUCAAGUGAUUAUGUGUUUUUAGUUUGUAGAUUUUGAUGAACUUAUUUUUUUUUUCUUUCUAACAUUUCAAUUCCCUAUAGUUGGUUUUCCUGGAAUCUGAUUCCUAAGGUAAAAUGUUAUGUUACCUUCUCUGUUUUGCUUUUUUCUUUAUUUUGUCCUAACUGAUCUCUACUGCCUAGCUAUCAAAUGAUAACCAUAUAAUAAACAUGAAAAAUUCUUUACAAAGGAGGUUUUAAUUGUACAUGUUGGGUCAAAUUUAGGAGACGAUCAGUUAUUCCUGCUUAUCUUUUGUUAUUUUUGAUAUAUAACACAGCCAAAAAGAGCAUUUAAACAGGGGCUUAUAAAAAUGUCCCGUCACCAGAGAUUUUCAUUGAAUCCAAUUUGAUUCAAACUUCAUAAAAUUGAUUUUAAACUCAGUUUGAUUUACCUAACCAACUUGGGUUACAUCAUAACACAUCUAUAAAUAUUACCUAGUCCUAAUCAUUGAGUAAUUUUCAAUUUUUACACAUCUUAACCUCUUUGGGACAAAUUUUCAAACACCCUAAGGGCAUAGCCUAUACUUUCAGAAUUCAUAGAGGUUUAGGCAUGGUUCUAGCCAAAAAAAUUCCAUAGAAGUACUUCACAACACAUAGUUUCCCGACCAAACACAUCAAUUUCAGAAUAACAAACAUUAUGUAAACUUUUAAUUUCCAUAAAAUUAACCAAAUACAUGGCUUACCUUACAAAAGAUUAGUUUGAUGUAGUCUUAGCUUGAUAACCAGUCUAUGAAAUCUUUCUUUACUGCUGCUGAUCUUAAUCCCUUCCCACGUUAGCUUGCAACUUCAAUUCUUUAAUGCCUUCAUUAGUUCCAACCGAAAUUAAGAGGAUUUUGAUAAAAGUUUGGGAGUUGUGGAAACUUGACAAUUAGAUCUAACAAAACCCACAAAAAUCUAACAAAACCUUAACAGCACAAAGGGUUUUUAAAAAAAAAUCAACAAAGAUUUGAAGAAGAAGCAAGCAAAAGGGAAUGAAGAAGAAACCCUUGGUUCCGUGUUUUAGGGUGGAGAGAAUGAAGAAGAAGAAGAAGAAGAAGAAGAAUGAAGAAGAAUCCAGCAAAAAUCAACAAAAAUUUGAAUAUUUGAAGAAGAAGCAAGCAAGAAAUCAAUAGAGGUGGAGAGAAUGAAGAAAAAGCG